rnacentral:rRNA from 1 species
UACGAAGGGGGCUAGCGUUGUUCGGAAUCACUGGGCGUAAAGGGCGCGUAGGCGGCCGAUCAAGUCGGGGGUGAAAGCCUGUGGCUCAACCACAGAAUUGCCUUCGAUACUGGUUGGCUUGAGACCGGAAGAGGUAAGUGGAACUGCGAGUGUAGAGGUGAAAUUCGUAGAUAUUCGCAAGAACACCAGUGGCGAAGGCGGCUCACUGGCCCGAUACUGACGCUGAGGCACGAAAGCGUGGGGAGCAAACAGGG